rnacentral:SRP_RNA from 1 species
GCUGUGUAUAGUGGCACAGGCCUGUAGUCCCAGCUACUUGAGAGGCUGAGGCAGCAGGAUCUCUCGAGCCCAGGAGCUCUGGGCUGCAGUGCACUAUGUUGGCCAGGUGUCCACACUAAGUUUGGCAUGAAUAUGGUGACCUGCCAGGAGAGGGAGGUCAGAAAUGGAGCAGGUCAAAACUCCUGUGUUGGUCAGUUGUGGGGCUGCACCCAUCAUUAGCCACUGUGUUCCAGCCUGGGCAACAGUGAGGCCCUUUU